GAUGAAGAACGCAGCGAAGUGCGAUAAGUAAUGCGAAUUGCAGAAUUUCCGUGAGUCAUCGAAUCUUUGAACGCACAUUGCGCCCACUGGUAUUCCGGUGGGCAUGCCUGUUCGAGCGUCAUUAUCCUCCCUCAAACCCCGGGUUUGGUGUUGGACCGAAGUUGUGUGAACAACUGGUCUAAAAAACAAUGACGGCGUCCGUGGGACCCUCGGUGCAACGAGCUUUUAGGAGCACGCGCCGAGUUGCAAGGACCUUCCGGGCCGGUCUCCUUUUACUAUUUUACAAGGUUGACCUCGGAUCAGGUAGGAAUACCCGCUGAACUUAAGCAUAUCAAUAAGCGGAGGA
rnacentral:misc_RNA from 1 species